rnacentral:rRNA from 1 species
GAGGCGGCAGCUACACAUGCAGUCGAGCGAACCUUCGGGUUAGCGGCGGACGGGUGAGUAACGCGUGGGAACGUACCCUCUUCUGCGGGAUAGCCACUGGAAACGGUGAGUAAUACCGCAUACGCCCUUCGGGGGAAAGAUUUAUCGGAGGAGGAUCGGCCCGCGUUGGAUUAGGUAGUUGGUGGGGUAAUGGCCUACCAAGCCUACGAUCCAUAGCUGGUUUUAGAGGAUGAUCAGCCACACUGGGACUGAGACACGGCCCAGACUCCUACGGGAGGCAGCAGUGGGGAAUCUUAGACAAUGGGCGCAAGCCUGAUCUAGCCAUGCCGCGUGAGUGACGAAGGCCUUAGGGUCGUAAAGCUCUUUCGCCAGAGAUGAUAAUGACAGUAUCUGGUAAAGAAACCCCGGCUAACUCCGUGCCAGCAGCCGCGGUAAUACGGAGGGGGUUAGCGUUGUUCGGAAUUACUGGGCGUAAAGCGCACGUAGGCGGAUUGGAAAGUUGGGGGUGAAAUCCCAGGGCUCAACCCUGGAACUGCCUCCAAAACUCCCAGUCUGGAGUUCGAGAGAGGUGAGUGGAAUUCCGAGUGUAGAGGUGAAAUUCGUAGAUAUUCGGAGGAACACCAGUGGCGAAGGCGGCUCACUGGCUCGAUACUGACGCUG